UUAUGUGUAGAGGUACAUAAGUGAGCAGGGAGAUUUAGAUCGCAGCAUAGAUAUCAGCUUCCGGAACCUUCCACAUAUUUUGGAGGCUCAUCAACAAGCGGUGGGCUUGCUCUGCUUCAGGGUGUUCAUGGCAUAAAAAGACUGUUCCAGGCUGAGAGGUUCUGUGUUACCUCUCACUUCUUGGACCAAUACUAGGGACAGUGCAGUCUUGGAUCCAUUUCACUGAGUCAAAGCUCCCCAGUCAGGAGCAGUUGGGGUGCCUCCGGUGCCUGUAACCUCCAUCGUCAUCAUGACAUUAUGUAUCUAUCAUUAAUGUUCCAGCUGAAGGCAUCCUCUUCCUCCCCCUCUUGUCGCUGCCAUGGCCUCUGCAGCUCAGGUUAUCAACUUUCCCAG